UACUUCAUAUUUCCUCCGUUUGCCUUCCAUGAAACAAUAUGUGAAAACAUGAGUCUGUCUUGCGAUAUAUCUGUUGUUCCUAAGCUAAAGCUUCCACAAGCAACGGGCAGUUCUUCAUCAGACCAUUUCUCCUCUGCUUCAUUCAUUGCAAUGCGCUCCAGCCAAGUGAGUUGAACUUUAAAGUUGGAGGCAUCAAAACCUUUUAUUUUAGCAUAAUAUCUUGGCAUGCCAUCAAGGUUAUCAAAAAGGGCCGAGAUCUGGUGCUUCA